UACGUAGGGUGCGAGCGUUAAUCGGAAUUACUGGGCGUAAAGCGUGCGCAGGCGGUUUUGUAAGCCAGAUGUGAAAGCCCCGGGCUUAACCUGGGAAUGGCAUUUGGGACUGCAAGGCUCGAGUUUGGCAGAGGAGACUGGAAUUCCUGGUGUAGCAGUGAAAUGCGUAGAUAUCAGGAGGAACACCGAUGGCGAAGGCAGGUCUCUGGGCUGAAACUGACGCUCAUGCACGAAAGCGUGGGGAGCGAACAGG
rnacentral:rRNA from 1 species